CUUCAGUCAAAGGGAUGACUUCAGUCCCUUUCUUAACUAAUCCUGUCACUGUAAAAUCCUACAGUCAUUCUUCCACACAUAAAGGGAAAACGGACUCACUAGGAGGACCUAGACUCUUUCAGCUUGAACUGUUAACCAAUGGUGGAAAUGCAAGAAUGCUGAAGUUGUGCCUUCAGAGCCAAUAGAGUGGAUUUGUGUGUCCCACAUGACUGUGUUUCCCCUGUCUUUCACAUGGGCAGUAUUUAGUUCAAUUCAGAACUGCAGAUAGUAUAGCGUGCAGAGCAGCAAUGGGAUGUCUGAGCACAAGUGGCUGACUUCCAGGCGACUUCAAGAAGUGCAUUUGUACAUUUCUGCUGAAUUAAAUUGGAAUUCUGCACCCUUGACAUCCUCCUACCCUCCUGGUCUCUGCGGAAGGAGACAGCAACCUGCGCAGCACAACAAAACUAGAAAUCAUCACAGAACUGCAGAAGAGCAAACGAAGUGAGCUGAGGGCAAUUCGACCGUCUUCUCUGUCAGUUCCCCAGAAGUCUAUGAAGCAUAUUACUGGGUCUCCAAGGUACUUCCCAGAGAUUAGUUGGUCAUGCUGUACAAUUAGGAAGUGAUUAAAACAAGCUGUUUCUUCAUUAUAUUAAGAUACUUGCAGCAGUGAGAGCCGUUACCCUCUACAUGUGUACCUCUCCAAACUGAGGAUAUUUAUUAGCACUUAAUAACGAUGUGUCACCUCAGCCAAGUGACGAGGCAGCACAGUGGUCUCAGGUACAAGGAAGAUGUUGUUAUGAAACUCCACCUGUUUCACCUGGGAAAAUCCAGUAAGAACAUUUGAGCUAAGAAUGCUCAAAUGUAUUUGAACACUAUGUUUAAUCUUGGGCAUUUUGUUUACUUCAAACAUACCUGUAAACCUUUAACAAAAGGUAAUCAACAAAACAUGUAGAGUCUAAAUUAAAGAGAUGGGGUUUAAAAUGUUCUUAUGAAAAGAAAAAGAAAAGAUUCAACAAGACUCCACAUAAAUGAUGUUUUCUAAUAAGGCACAUGAAAACCUCAGUUACAGAAAUCAUUAUUCUAGGUAUUACGUGCUAUUUUAUAUUCCCAGCAGGAUGCUUUUCAUCUCAUCAAGAGUUUCCAAGGCUGUUUAGUGUUUCUGUAUAUGCAAAACAAACUUAAGGGCCCCCCAAAAGAUCUGCUAAUUAAAAAAAAAUGCCUAGUAAAGUGGUCAGACAGACUGGAACUCGAGUAUUAUAGGUAAGAGGGAUGAAAUGAAGGCUUGGAAACUAUAAUUUCUAUUUCUGUGGUAGGAGCAGAAGCAGCUGUUAUAGACUGGGCAAAUUAAAGAUGUGGCUGACUAAGCCAACAGUCUGGAAACAAGACGUUGCAAAAACAUAACAGCAAGUCAUCUGCACCCCACUUUUAAAAAGCCAAAAAUGCUGACCAUUUCUUUUUCUCCCUCCCUUCCUGUUAUUCUCAUCUGUCACAAAUAUCCUCCAGCU
rnacentral:lncRNA from 1 species